rnacentral:rRNA from 1 species
AGGUGAACCUGCGGAAGGAUCAUUACCGAGUGAGGGCCCUUUGGGUCCAACCUCCCACCCGUGUUUAUUUACCUCGUUGCUUCGGCGGGCCCGCCUUAACUGGCCGCCGGGGGGCUCACGCCCCCGGGCCCGCGCCCGCCGAAGACACCCCCGAACUNUGCCKGAAGAUCGUCGUAUGAGUGAAAAUAUAAAUUAUUUAAAACUUUCAACAACGGAUCUCUUGGUUCCGGCAUCGAUGAAGAACGCAGCGAAAUGCGAUACGUAAUGUGAAUUGCAAAUUCAGCGAAUCAUNGAGUCUUUGAACGCACAUUGCGCCCCCUGGUAUUCCGGGGGGCAUGCCUGUCCGAGCGUCAUUGCUGCCCUCAAGCCCGGCUGGUGUCUUGGGUCCCGUCCUCCGAUUCCGGGUGACGGGCCCGAAAGGCAGCGGCGGCACCGCGUCCGGUCCUCGAGCGUAAGGGGGUUUGUCACGCGCUAUGUAGGCCCGUCCGCCGCUGGCCGAUCAACCCAAAAAUUAUCCAGGUUACCUAGUAUCAUUACGCAGUCAUU